UUUUUUUUUUUUUUUUUUUGUCUUUUCUUUGAUCUUUCAUCUUUAGUUACAGGAUUGGAUAUCUUCAUCUAAUGGAUCAGUUGUUUCUAAUCUAUAUAUUUUUUACUGGAAAAUCUAGAGGUUGUUGUUGGUGGUUGAUUAAAGAGUGUUUAGAAUUCGUGAAUAAUUAGGAUUAUUGGGUUUUUCCAUAACUUGAAUUUGCAGGCUAAAAAGAUUACAGGGAAGGAGCUACAUCCAUAGAAAUUUACUUAUUUCUUCACGAGGAAUUGCCUAAGAGAAUCGCUAGAAGAGCCAUUGAUUAAGAGAGUUUGCCGUUUGGACCAGCUGUUUUACGGGAGCAUGAAAGAGGAGGUGCCCUACAGAAAUUGGAGUUGUCACUCAGUGCAUUACACCACCACCUAGAGUGACUGACGGGUACAUUACAAACGUGCUGCUGAAGAUCAACGCUAAACAUUCCGGGAAGAACUCCCACUAUGAUCCUUAAGAUGGAUAUGUCGCAAGGGUCUCCUGGCCAGUCUGGUGUAACAUCUAUAACUGCAGUAAGUAUGUUUACCUUAUGCAGUUUAUUAUGAUUUUGAUGGUGCUUGAAGACUAUCUUUACCCGUAGAAAAACAUAUAUUGAUCGGUCAAUUCUCGAAACAUGCUCAUUGGGUGGUUGGCUCCAGGGGAUGGCCUGUGAUCUCCAAGUACAGAGCAUCAGUGAGGACUCAAUCUCCAAAGGUUGAAAUGAUUGAUUCUUUGUUCAAGGAAUUGUCAGAUAAUCAAAAGGAUAAAGGAAUUAUUGAGUGUAUUAUUUUCUCCUUUAAUUGUGUUUUAAUCAAUGUUUGGCUUUGAUAUCACACAUGAUUUUGCUGAAUUGUUCUAAUAUUUUAUUUCAUUCCUAGGGAGCUGCUUCGAGAUUUUUAUUACAGUUCAGGUUGAGAGAGUGUUUGUGCUUUUAUUUUGCGUUAUUUAGAAUUACUGAAAACAUCGUAUCAUGUGUAGAUGUAGUGUCUAUGGUUGCCAUACUGACUUGCUUGUGCUUACCGGAUUGGGUAUAUGUGCUAAGGCACUCUCAGGGAGUUGUGAUUAUGAUGUAAUACUACUUUAGUAGGUAUCACUCUGCAUGUGCAUUUUGUAGUUGAUCUCCUGUUUCUGGUUCAGCGUCAACACUAAGCAAUGAAAGUACUACCACUAUAAUACUAAAGCUAUUUGCCAAAUUGUACAACUACGAUGCAUGUUUGCAAUAUUGUGUUGUUUAAAAAUGUUAAUGAACUAGUGAACAUCCGUAACUACUCUCAAAACCAUGUUAUUAUUUGGGGAUAUCCUACCAUGUCAAAUGUAUGUAAAUUAGUCAUCUCUCACCAGAACACCAGAACCACUGAGAAAUAAAUUAAUCAUCUACUUUUUUCUUUGGUGAUGCAGCUAGCUACCCUUACUGGCCAUACAUACAGAGUUCGUCAUCUCCCUUGAUGGACAAGUAGUUUUUGAGUUACACUACUUAUUAAACUCAGCAAUAUCAAUGGGAUUUCCUUAUCCUAUGUUUAUUGGUAUACUUUCUUAUCUUAAAAUUAAAAUUACUUAGCAACAAACAAUUGCCACAGGAGCAGGCGAUGAAACGCUUCGGUUUUGAAAUGUAUUUCCUUCUCCAAAAUAUCAAGUAUGUUCUUGCCUCUUAAUUCAAUAAUCUGAUGAAUAGAUGCAACUUUUUGUCCUGCACGACACGGUUCUAUCAAUCAUCCGCUAGAGCAACAAACUUAAAUCCUCUUCCAUCAAAGUAUUCAUACUAACCAAAGAAAAUUAUAUACACAUAUUUUUCUCUCUUAGUUCUUUUUCUUAACUCGAUCAUGUUAGCUAACCCUCUCCCUUGAUUUAAAUAAAUCUCAUUUUUAUAUUUUGCUCUUAAUUCAGAACUCUGAUAGCUAUAUAGGAGAAUCUGUUGACCGUAUAGUACCACUGACACGUUAAGCUACGACAACAUUAAAAAUCCUUGAUGCUUAAAAAACAAGAAAACAAAUACGAGCCUGGAAAAAAAAUAAAAUAAUUAGGAGGAUUACACGUUAAUAGAAAAUUAGACUAUGGUUACGCAAAAGAGGAGCCAAAAGAGUUUUAGGAAGGAAGAAACGACGAAACCACAUAAAAAAACGACGUUAUUUAUUUUCUUCUUCUCGAUGAUUUCCUUAAUUUCCCACAGAGGUAUAGAUGUAUAGUGUGGAGGUGUUGAAGAAACAUUUCCUUGGCAUUAUCUGGUCGGCCCUCCUAUUGUGGCAGCGACAACGAUCACCUAGUAUUUUAAUGAUCAGAUCAUCUUGAUCGGACCUAGAUAUAUACAAUUAUGUAAAAUUAAAUAAUUUGAUUUGGAAUUUUUAAUGAAAUGUGUGUACGAAAAGUUUGGGUUCAGACAUUUAUUUUUCGUAGCUCUUCGAAGCUCAAAGAUAAAAUUCAAAGUUAACACUCGAGUUCGGUUAUUAACCAAAACACAAACUGUUUGGAACAAAUAUUUUCGUUCCUAAGAUAAUCACCGAUAUCAUUUCUGUUUUGAGUUAGAAACAAUUGAUAUGGAUAAGUGUUGCUUUUUUCGACAAAAAAACCGUCACUGAAUAGUCAAGUAAGCCAAAUAUCCAUAUAUUCAGGCAUCUAAUUAUUUUAGCUAUCCGAAUCUCAUAUUCGGGUAUCUAUUUUUGUAGUUAUUCAAAUCUCAAAAAUAAAUUAGGCUCGGUCAUCAAUCAAAAUGAAAAUAAAUAAUAACAAAAAAUGUUUGGCUGUUAAUAUAUCAAAUGCUCCGAAUCUAACAAUAAAAGAAAAGUUUGAUGUUCAUCGUGUACUUAGCCAAAAAAUGAAGAUAUUUUUUUCUUGAUUAAGAUGUUGUGGUCUCGCUAUUUUAUCUUGAUCUGUUAAAUGUUAUUAUAGUUACUACAUCUAGUAUACCAAAUGCUCUGAAUCUAAAAAUAAAAAAAGAUGUCUAUGUUUCUGAGGGGAGAAAAACUAUUUUUUUUUUCCUUAUUUAGGUGUUUUUUACUUGAUGUUUUAUCUCGAUCCAUUAAAAAUCAUCAUCAUUACUGUCAUAUAAAUAGAUCUAGCCAUUCAUCUCUAAAUUCGACUCACCUUCUUGACAAAAAAACAACAACAUGAUUAAAUUCUCAUGUCGUGAUCCGUAUGUACGUUAUUAAUCAACUCUCUCCAAAUCAAAAACUAAAUUUAUACGAUGAUUGAUAUGCUAUCACACCUUAAUUAAAAACCUCUUAAAUUUAAUAUAUCUUAGUGAAGAACUGUAUAAAAGUAAUACUAAAACUUAAAAGGUAAAACAGUAUUUUGGAAUAACACUAAAACACCCCCUAGCAAGUUUCAAGGGUGGCAUUAGUUGGUUUAAGCACAAACCACAUUUUUAUGUAGCCAAAACAUUUGUCAAAUAUAACCCAUGUUCGGCAAAUAAUUUUCCCAUGGCUAGUUUGAGGUUUACCCUUUUAUUUGAGAAAGACAAAAUCAGGUUAUUUUGAAAUAAAACCAAAAAACUAGUAUCCAAUUAUUUUUACUAAUAGUCAACAUGUUUAUGAUCAGUUUGUGUUCAUUGAUCAUGUUAAUUGUGAACUAAUUAUUUUAUUUUAGUUGUGAAAUUAAUUGUUAUUAAUAAUCAAAAUAUUUUAAAAAAAUGAUAAAUGUUUUUCCUAAGCUGAUCAAACUGGAAUUGAUGGAUACAACGGCCCACGUAGGCCGUUUCUGCUUUGAUGUUCUUUAUUCAAUUAAACACAAAGGAAUCGUCGUAUAGUGGGGUAUCAACCGAUUUUUUUGAAGAAAAUUGCACUCUAAAAUCGGUCAAUAUUGAUAUUCGUAUUGAUAGUAGCUUCAAAAACAAAUAGAAAAUGACAAUUUACUCUUAUCCAGAAUCGGUCGAUAUGGAUCUCCAUAUCAGCCUAUUAUGUGUUGAUGUUGAACAAUAUCAGACGUUGUUAGAGAUUGCUCGGUCGAACUCACAAGUGUUGCUAUCUCAAGCUUGUUGUCAAAUUUAGUUGUCAAAACUAUAUCUUGAUUUCUAGUCUAGUUGUCAAAUUUAGUUGUCAAAAUUUAGUUGUCUCGGCAGUUUAGAUCAAUUCCAGAGAGAUGGACUUUUCCUUCAUGAUACUCAUAGAGCCUUCUACAAGCUAGUAGUUACAGGAAUUGAUGCUUCUAGACAGAUAAAACUUGAUUUUUAUAUGUUCUCUCAUGUUUGGACCGACUUAAAAUCUCUGGAUCUUAUGCAACAUGAUAUGAGUUAUGUGGUUACCUUGGAAAAGGAGUUUGUUUGGUUUUACUACUUCUGGAGGGUGUGUCCUAGUAUUUACUUUAGUAAGAAUGAUAGUUUGUUUUCUAAGAUAAGUUUUGAAGAAACUGUUGACGUUUCUUUGGAUAUUCUAAAGUUUCAGUGGUCUAUUUGCCUCCUUUUUGUAUUGGGUAUUUUUCUAAAGUUUAUCCUUAUAUUCAUUCAUUUUCUUGGAUCAUUUGGGAUCUUAUGCUGGAAUUUGAUUUGCAUUCUUGUUGGAUAUACUUUGGUGGCAGAUUUUUAAGUCAGUUUACACCUUCGCGGACUUGGGUUGUUAGUGCUUAUAUCUGGUAUGGGUAUAAUGAGGUUUUUAUUAUUGGGUACAAUUGGUCUGGUUGGAUGUAUACAGGAUAUUUCUUCUCUUCUUGUUUUAUGUUUCUCUAAGUGAUUUGGUGGGAUCCUAGUACUGCCAUGGAUGUUGUAGC